UGGCCAAGGCUUGUCGUUCGCUUGCAGUCGAGGUGCGCUGAAUAUCUAGCGGAGGACUUCCUGCCCGUUUCUGUGGCUGAGGAGAUGAAGAGGCGGCUGCACAAGAAAUACUUGAUUUUGAUUUUAGGAUAUUCCGUGUUACUUCUGUUAAUUCCUUAUGUUUUGGAUUACAGGGGUAAAACUAUUCGUGAUAAACAUGAAGUUCAGCAGCAAAAGUGCCCUGACUUCGAAAAAACACUGGCAAUGUGGAGUAACGUGGACAAUAGCAACAAUGCCACCGAGAUGGUGGGAGACGCUUCCAAUAGGAGCGAUAGGAUAAAUAUUUAUUUGCACGCCACAUGGAGAACGGGGUCUUCCUUUUUAGGUGAACUAUUCAAUCAACACCCAGAUGUGUUUUAUUUGUAUGAACCCAUGUGGAAUAUGUGGCAAUCGCUCUACCCUGGAGACGCGGUGAGUCUGCAAGGAGCCGUCCGGGACAUGAUGAAUUCACUUUUCCGCUGUGAUUUCUCCGUUCUUAAGCUCUACGCCGGAACUAGCAACAUCACUACCUCAUUCAUAUUUGGGUGGAAGACGAACAAGGUUAUCUGCUCAGAGCCUCUAUGCAGCGCCUACAAGAAAGACGAAAUUGGGCUCGUGAGAGGAGACGUCUGCGACAAGUGUCGGCCGAGGGACCUUAAGGACUUGGAGAGAGAAUGCAAAAAGUACCGCGUUAUGGUCAUUAAAGACGUCCGUGUGUUCGACCUGAGCGUGUUGGUUCCUUUAAUAAGGGACCCCGGUUUGAAUCUUCGGGUCAUUCAGCUUUUUCGAGAUCCGCGCGCUGUGCACAAUUCCAGGCUGAAAUCCAAACUGGCCUUAGUGAAGGAGAGCGUUCAAGUGCUGCGCAGCAAGAAACAGACGGAUAAAUUCAAACGGCUCCUAAUGCCCAGCAACAGGUCUAACCGUGCGGAGAAUUAUGUGGCGAGCGCAAUGGAGCUGAUAUGUGACAGUUGGCUAAACGACAUGUUGCUCGUCGCGAACGCACCGCAAUGGUUGAAGAGAAAUUAUAUUCAGAUACGUUACGAGGACCUUGUCCUUUACCCCGUGGAGGAACUACAGAGGCUGUACCGCUUCUCAAACCUCACAUCCUUUCCAAAAAUUGAGAAAUUUGUCGUUAACAUGACGCGCGGAGAGGGAUAUUCUUCUGAAAAACCAUUUGUUAUAUCCUCGAGGGACGCUAAGGAAGCUAUAUUUGCCUGGAGAGAGAGGUUAAACGUGGAACAGAUCAAUCGAGUCGAAGCCUACUGCAGCGAGGUCAUGAGCCGCCUGGGGUAUCAAAGUGUUGUGGAUAAAACGUAAAGCCUGGAGAAAGUAGAGGUAAACAUGCGGAUAUAACGUUAGCCCACCCAAGUUAUUUCCCAGAAACAUAGCCUAAUAGCGGCUUAUACUGAAAUAGGCGGGAUACAUUUAGCCUGACAUUAUCUUGGAAUUUUGUACUAUAGGAAAUUUAAAUUUUUUUGUUUUGUAUUCAUUUAUUUAAUGUUUAUAAAGUCUAGUUAUACACCCACUGAUGCUCCGUAGUCCUAAAUGUAAUGCAUAGGCUACAUGUUAGGUUGAGCAGCUAGCUGUUUCACUAUAAAUAUUCACGCUUGCACUUAGUAGGCUACGGCGUUAAACAUCGACCUUUUUCUAUAUUCUACUCAUAGCUUCACCUGUUUUAUCGCAUUAAGCUGAUCAGGACAUUAUGAACUUCAACGUGAAAGCCAUUUAGGCCUAUGUUACAUGAACAUUUGCGAGACGUGAAACCUUAGUGGGUGUACCAACUUAAAAAUCAUAUAGCAUAUUUUGUGAGUCGCCUGUAUUCAAAUUGUAACCAUGGAGAGGACACACGGGAGGGACGUUAGACAUUGAGGAGCCUGAUGAACAGAAGAUGAGGGGAGAGGUGGAUAUGGAAGAGAAGGAGAGUCACCACCACUGGUGGACAGAGAGAAUGAGGAAACAGGGAAGCAGACAGCCAAGCUGGCCUCCAGGUGUGGCAGCGCCAGCCAAUCCUUUUGUCUGAAGAACCAGGAAGUCAUCUGAGGACGAGGGGGCCAGACGGCCUUGCCUCACGUGUAAAUAUGUACAGGGAAGAGAUGGUCCGGGUCCCUCUCCUGAGACUGGGCUGGCUUCACCACAGACAGGGAAAGAGGGAACCGAAGGCCUACCAAUGUCCUGACAUCCAGAUUUCACCGACACUAAUCCCUUUUCAAUCCUCGGCAGGCCCUAAUCGGCACAAGGCUCACGUUACCUGGGAGACGGCGACUGGUUCUGGCUCGACCUUAUCCUUGCUCCUGUCGUGUUUACCCAGUAUUCCCAGGUGGUGUGCAAGUGUGUGCAGCAGUUCCCAAUGGUGCAUCUACGUCAAAACACAACAGUAUUCUAUGAAGGCAAGAAGAUAAAAAGACUUGAUGGGCCAGGGGGGGGGGGGGGGGGGGGGGGCGUGGGAGUAAGCAAAGUGUUAACUAAUAGGAGGAGGGGUGUGGGAGAGUGAAUUAACAGGUGACCAAUUACAGACACGUCCUGCACUAAUGAACAUGUCAGAGAGGGGUGCACUUCCCUUAUGGAAACUGAAUGCACCACAGUAUGAUGUAUAUAUUUGGACUUAUAUUUGUAUAUGAAUAUAUUUCAUAGCAGUGUAUUAAAACAAAUAUUGUAAUAUAUGAAAGCAGUAAUAAUGUCUAUAUUUGCCCACAUAUUGUGAAGUGUUGCAAUAUCAUGAUCAUAUUUAAAAAUAUUUUCAGUAUAUUCCAUUUCUGUAGGGUUGGCUGCAGUAGGCACUCAUCUUGUCUUUAGGGGUGAGAAUCGAACCCAGUGCAGUAUGGUCCUGAAGUAUCCAGACAGCUAAGGUAUUCCUCCACCCCCGCCCCAUAACCAAAAGAACAACCACACCCCUGUGAAAUUCCUCAGUGCCCCAUGAGAAUACAUCCAAAGUCUCUCAGCUGUAACCUCCGACCACGCAGAAAGUUACUUUUUGGUCAUAUUGACUUUCCUUGGCUAAUACAUUUACUUAGGUACUCAGAUUUUUACUAAAGCUUUCUCCUUAAAAAACAUGUGCCUCUGCUUCAGUUGUUUUUUCCCUCCAGUGUAAAAAGUUAAUCAGUCAAAAACCUAGGAUGCAAAACGUGCUGACAAACUAGUUUCUCUGUCCCUCAAUGUGAAUAUCCUGAUUAUUUUCAUUGCUUAAAAAAAUAAACAGUGGUGUUGACAACAGUAUUGAUUGUUUACUACUUUAAGGUGCUUGAUAUUUGACGUGUAUGAGGGAGACGCCAUGAUUUUCAGGUACCUUCUUUCAAGUAAAAAAUAAUUUUGAUAGCUGAUCUGUAUUAAAUUCACCCCAGGAAGACACUUUUGUGCUUUUUUUGUUGCUAAGUGAACCCUCCAUUUAAGUAAAUAAAUGUUUUUGCAUGUUUUAAA